UACGAAGGUCCCGAGCGUUGUUCGGAAUCACUGGGCGUAAAGGGAGCGUAGGCGGCGCGGUAAGUCAGAUGUGAAAUCCCGGGGCUCAACCCCGGAACUGCAUCCGAUACUGCCGUGCUAGAGGAUUGGAGAGGUAGCUGGAAUUCUUGGUGUAGCAGUGAAAUGCGCAGAUAUCAGGAGGAACACCGAUGGCGAAGGCAGGUCUCUGGGCCACUACUGACGCUGAGAAGCGAAAGCAUGGGGAGCGAACAGG
rnacentral:rRNA from 1 species